rnacentral:rRNA from 1 species
AUUGAACGCUGGCGGCAGGCCUAACACAUGCAAGUCGAACGAGUGGCGGACGGGUGAGUAAUGUCUGGGAAACUGCCGGAUGGAGGGGGAUAACUACUGGAAACGGUAGCUAAUACCGCAUACCAUCAGAGGGGCCCAGAUGGGAUUAGCUUGUUGGUGGGGUAACGGCUCACCAAGGCGACGAUCCCUAGCUGGUCUGAGAGGAUGACCAGCCACACUGGAAAUGAGACACGGUCCAAGCGCCUACGGGAGGCAGCAGUGGGGAAUAUUGAACAAUGGGGGCAAGCCUGAGGCAGCCAUGCCGCGGGUAUGAAGAAGGCCUUCGGGUUGUAAAGUACUUUCGGCGGGGAGGCGUUACCCGCAGAAGAAGCACCGGCUAACUCCGUGCCAGCAGCCGCGGUAAUAC